rnacentral:misc_RNA from 1 species
CAAAAGGAGACCUUGAAGGAUAAGGAAAAGUGAGUCAAGGAAAGAGGAGACUCAUUAAAGGUAAGGAGAAAGAAAAAGCUGCAGAGUGAGUAGCGUGGAGCAGUACUGGAUAUAGCUUCGGGUAUAUAUUAGGUAUACCCUUGUGUAGAUUUAUUUUGAUGUAAUUUGACCUGCAUGUAUAUAAAAGACAAAUGAGCAGUUGUACACAUGAAAUUGUAAUAAUAUUUUGUUAACUUUUCGUUGUAAAUUUGUAUAGAG